GAUGAACGCUGGCGGCGUGCCUAAUACAUGCAAGUCGAGCGAACAGACGAGGAGCUUGCUCCUCUGACGUUAGCGGCGGACGGGUGAGUAACACGUGGAUAACCUACCUAUAAUACUGGGAGAACUUCGGGAAACCGGAGCUAAUACCGGAUAAUAUAUUGAACCGCAUGGUUCAAUAGUGAAAGACGGUUUUGCUGUCACUUAUAGAUGGAUCCGCGCCGCAUUAGCUAGUUGGUAAGGUAACGGCUUACCAAGGCGACGAUGCGUAGCCGACCUGAGAGGGUGAUCGGCCACACUGGAACUGAGACACGGUCCAGACUCCUACGGGAGGCAGCAGUAGGGAAUCUUCCGCAAUGGGCGAAAGCCUGACGGAGCAACGCCGCGUGAGUGAUGAAGGUCUUCGGAUCGUAAAACUCUGUUAUUAGGGAAGAACAAAUGUGUAAGUAAAUAUGCACGUCUUGACGGUACCUAAUCAGAAAGCCACGGCUAACUACGUG
rnacentral:rRNA from 1 species